rnacentral:rRNA from 1 species
GAUGAACGCUGGCGGCGUGCCUAAUACAUGCAAGUCGAGCGAACAGACGAGGAGCUUGCUCCUCUGACGUUAGCGGCGGACGGGUGAGUAACACGUGGAUAACCUACCUAUAAGACUGGGAUAACUUCGGGAAACCGGAGCUAAUACCGGAUAAUAUAUUGAACCGCAUGGUUCAAUAGUGAAAGACGGUUUUGCUGUCACUUAUAGAUGGAUCCGCGCCGCAUUAGCUAGUUGGUAAGGUAACGGCUUACCAAGGCAACGAUGCGUAGCCGACCUGAGAGGGUGAUCGGCCACACUGGAACUGAGACACGGUCCAGACUCCUACGGGAGGCAGCAGUAGGGAAUUUUCCGCAAUGGGCGAAAGCUUGACGGAGCAACGCCGCGUGAGUGAUGAAGGUCUUCGGAUCGUAAAACUCUGUUAUUAGGGAAGAACAAAUGUGUAAGUAACUAUGCACGUCUUGACGGUACCUAAUCAGAAAGCCACGGCUAACUACGUG